AACGAACGCUGGCGGCAGGCCUAACACAUGCAAGUCGAACGCCCUAGCAAUAGGGAGUGGCAGACGGGUGAGUAACACGUGGGAACGUGCCCUUCGGUUCGGAAUAACUCAGGGAAACUCGAGCUAAUACCGGAUACGUGCGAGAGCAGAAAGAUUUAUCGCCGAAGGAUCGGCCCGCGUCCGAUUAGCUAGUUGGUGAGGUAAUGGCUCACCAAGGCGACGAUCGGUAGCUGGUCUGAGAGGAUGACCAGCCACACUGGGACUGAGACACGGCCCAGACUCCUACGGGAGGCAGCAGUGGGGAAUAUUGGACAAUGGGCGCAAGCUUGAUCCAGCCAUGCCGCGUGAGUGAUGAAGGCCCUAGGGUUGUAAAGCUCUUUCGCCAGGGACGAUAAUGACGGUACCUGGAUAAGAAGCCCCGGCUAACUUCGUGCCAGCAGCCGCCGUAA
rnacentral:rRNA from 1 species